UGGGGAAUUUUGGACAAUGGGCGAAAGCCUGAUCCAGCAAUGCCGCGUGUGUGAAGAAGGCCUUCGGGUUGUAAAGCACUUUUGUCCGGAAAGAAAUCCUUGGCUCUAAUACAGUCGGGGGAUGACGGUACCGGAAGAAUAAGCACCGGCUAACUACGUGCCAGCAGCCGCGGUAAUACGUAGGGUGCAAGCGUUAAUCGGAAUUACUGGGCGUAAAGCGUGCGCAGGCGGUUUUGCUAAGACCGAUGUGAAAUCCCCGGGCUCAACCUGGGAACUGCAUUUGGUGACUGGCAGGCUAGAGUAUGGCAGAGGGGGGUUAGAAUUUCCACGUGUAGCAGUGAAAUGCGUAGAGAUGUGGAGGAAUACCGAUGGCGAAGGCAGCCCCCUGGGCCAAUACUGACGCUCAUGCACG
rnacentral:rRNA from 1 species